UGAUUACACGCUCGCAUUCAUGGUCACUUCCGAACCGCGUUAGUGCCUUCCGUCCCUAAACCGCCAACGACCAGGGCGGCUUCCCUCGCGGUUUGUCAGGGAUCCGCAGGUCCCGGAGGGCCUUCGUCUUACCCGGGAUCCAC
rfam:Myotis davidii contig322738, whole genome shotgun sequence.